rfam:Anolis carolinensis chromosome 5, whole genome shotgun sequence.
AUAAGAGACCUUAAUACCCUAAGGCACCAAAUCCCAUCUGAUCUUGGAAGGUAAGUGGAGUCAGUCAGUCCUGGUUAGUACUUGGAUGAAAGACUGCCAAGGAAUAUCAGGUGUUGUAGACU